AUCAGGAAGGCAGUAAACACCACAGCUAACAUUUGAGAGAAUGUACUUUGCCACACACUUUGCUAUAUACUUGACAUGCAUUUAUCCUUGGAGCCACCAUGGAGGAAGCUAACCCUGAAGACCCAUUUUGAGAUGCCAGCAUCACCCAAAGCAAGGAUGAUAAUAGACAAGAAAGUACCUCCUAGAGGGCCAAGCCAAGGGCUGUGGGGAUUGAUGGACUGGGAGACUCUCCUAGAGAUCUGAAUGGAGUUCAGUCAAGGAAUAUUCUCUACCUCCAAUGUAGAAAAUCAUCACAUGCCCAUUAGGCAUAGCCAGUUGCUUGCUUUGGCCAGUGGAAUGAGAACAGAAGUGAUGUGCCACUACUAAGCAGACACAUCAGAGGGGGAGGACUCAAGAUGGCGCUGUGAGAACAACCCAGGAUUGAAGCUCUCGCUGGACGCACGGAGAGGGUGAGUCGGGGAAGCAUUUCCAGACGGAUCUUAGUUGCCCACAGAACAGGGAAAUUCCCAGGUAUAAAAGAGACGCGGGACGCCAGGCAGAGGUCUCCGCUGGUGUAGCCGGCAGCCGGUGCAGCUCUGGCCCGUGCCGGAGCGCAGAAGUGCUCCACAGUGCUCCAUACAAAAGCGCACUGUUACGGGUGCCCUGUUGAACCGGCAAACUAAGACCCGAGAGGGCUGAACUUGAGACUGAACGGGUCUUGAACAGUGACCCAGCCCAGGAAAUCCCAGGGACUCAGCGUUUGGGGGAACACAGUGUGACAAACAAAACGGCGAUUCCAAACACUCCCGGUGA